GGACAGGGACAGGUGGCUCAGGGGGUACUAAUUGGAUAGGAGUAAAUUCUGGAUACUGUUUCACAGUAGAAUGACCACAGAUAAUGAUAACAAGCUGUGCAUUUAAAAAAAUCUAGGAGGGUCCUGAGAUACUUCUAGCAGAAAGGAAUAAUACGCAUACAUUUAAUAUGACAGAUUCGUUUAAUCUGACUUAACCCUUGAACAAUGUCUGUGUAUCUCCAAGCAUCACGAGGUCCCAACAAAUGGGGAUUGUUAUUAUGCACAAGCUAAAAAAAGAAAAUUAAUUUAUAAAAAGCACAGAAGAAAAAUUCAAGAAAGAAGAGCCAUCUAGAGGAAACAAGGCAAAAGCACAGAGAAAUUUGAUCUUCAGAGGGUUUCUUUAUGCACCCUAAUAUAAUCUCCAGCUUUACCUCCAGGCUGUAUCCUUGUUUUCUUUCAUAGCAACUUGACUUACUAGUCACUGGCAUUUUUUUCUUGAACUUUCUCUUCUGUGAUAAGAGUUACUAUCACUUACUGAGCUCCAGCUAUGUUAGAUAAGUACCAGAGAAAAAGCCAGUUAAGGGGAAAGUGUUUAAUUUGGCUCAUAGUUCAGAAGGAUGCAGUUUGUCACAGUGGAGAGGGCUGAGGGACUAAGAAGCAGAGAGAUGGAGAUGGUGUGCCAGUUUGGCAAUCUUUAGCCCACAGCAUGGAGCUUCCAAAUUAGAAUGAGCCUUCUCUCUUUAGUUAAAUCUCUCUGGAAAUGCCCUCAGAAGCAUGCCUGGAGGCGUGCCUUCCUGCUGAAUUCAAAUCCAGUUAUCUUUUUUUUUUUUUCCUUUUUGGCUUUUUGAGACAGGGUUUCUCUGUCUCUCUCUGGACCAGACUGGUCUCAGACUCAGAGAUUCUCCUGCCUCGGCCUCCCAAACACUGGGAUUAAAGGCAUGUGACACCAGCCUGGCUUAAAUCCACUUAUCUUGACAACCAGUAAUAACUAUCAUAAUAAGCAAAUUUUUAGGUUUCACACUUGAAUGUCUGAGUCACUGUGGUGAUGAUGUGUGAACAAGUCAGACAAACCAAUGCUAAAGGCCAGCGUGGAAGAUUAAGCCAAAGAGGGUCACUCACCUUUCUUUUAUCAGGAUGGAAAAUUUCCAAAUGGUCCAGUUUUAUGCUGGAGCUGCAGGGUGUGGCAUUGGUUUGGAACUGGGAAAUAGGGACUGGCUCUUUGGCUAGGGGAACAGCUCCCCUAGUUUAAAGAACAACACAGAGCACCACAGGCAGGUCUUUGCUCAUUUUCAUUGACCAUCAAAAAGAGGAAGUGAAAAUUCAGUUCCUGGCCCCCAUCUUCCCCAGGCUCCUACUUCCUUUCUCUCUACAGUAAAAACAGGUGUCUGUGGUUUUGUUUGUUUUCCUCCCAGAAAGGUGUUUUGUGUCAGGAGCCAAAAUGGCACUUUUAGAUCAUGUCCUUCCUAAAUGUUUAGCAGACUUCCAGCCCCAUCCUUUGGGAUAUUGGGUAACAUCUUUCUCCCUUUGAUAAAACUUGAGCACUUGGUCCCUCAGCUGGCAAGCACUGCCAUGGGAUACUGUGGAGCCAAUUGGACACAGAAGCAGAAGUGUGUCACCAUGAGUGGGCCUUGAAGGUUAUAUCUGUUUUUGGUUCCUGCAUGAGUCUCAGCUUCCACAUCCAUCAAGAUGUCAG
rnacentral:lncRNA from 1 species